GGGGUUGUGGCUCAGGGGAGAAGUGCUUGCCUGGCAUGCAUGGGGCACUGGGUUCAAUCCUCAGCACCACA
rnacentral:tRNA from 1 species